rfam:Eimeria brunetti, Houghton, WGS project CBTX01000000 data, contig: Ebh_contig171_16
UGGAUAGAAUGCCCGGCUACGGACCGGGUGGUCGUGGGUUCGAAUCCUGCUCGGCCUA